rnacentral:rRNA from 1 species
GACGAACGCUGGCGGCGUGCUUAACACAUGCAAGUCGAACGGAAAGGCCCUGCUUGCAGGGUACUCGAGUGGCGAACGGGUGAGUAACACGUGGGUGAUCUGCCCUGCACUUCGGGAUAAGCCUGGGAAACUGGGUCUAAUACCGGAUAGGAGCCAUUUCUAGUGUGAUGGUUGGAAAGUUUUUUCGGUGUAGGAUGAGCUCGCGGCCUAUCAGCUUGUUGGUGGGGUAAUGGCCUACCAAGGCGGCGACGGGUAGCCGGCCUGAGAGGGUGGACGGCCACAGUGGGACUGAGAUACGGCCCAGACUCCUACGGGAGGCAGCAGUGGGGAAUAUUGCACAAUGGGCGCAAGCCUGAUGCAGCGACGCCGCGUGGGGGAUGACGGCCUUCGGGUUGGAAACUCCUUUCGCUAGGGACGAAGCUUUUUGUGACGGUACCUAGAGAAGAAGCACCGGCUAACUACGUG